rnacentral:rRNA from 1 species
AAUGAACGUUGGCGGCGUGGAUUAGGCAUGCAAGUCGUACGGGUCGGUGUAGCAAUACAACGGCAAGUGGCGAAAGGGAGAGUAACACGUAGAUACCUACCCUCUGGUCGGGGAUACCGCGGCAUAACCGCAAGUAAUACCCGAUAAAAUCUCCGGAUCAAAGGUGUGAUUCCGCCGGAGGAGGGGUCUGCGUUCUAUCAGCUUGUUGGUGAGGUAAUGGCUCACCAAGGCUAAGACGGAUCCGGGGUGUGAGAGCAUGCCCCCGCUCACUGGGACAGAGACACUGCCCAGACCCGUGCGGGUGGCUGCAGUCGAGAAUCUUCGGCAAUGGGCGCAAGCCUGACCGAGCGACGCGGCGUGCGGGAUGAAGGCCUUCGGGUUGUAAACCGCUGUCGAGGGGAAUGAAGUGUAGGUGGGUACUCCCAUCUAUUUGACAGAUCCCUGGAGGAAGCAUGGGCUAAGUUCGUGCCAGCAGCCGCGGUAACAC